rnacentral:rRNA from 1 species
GGACCCUUUGACCUCAAAUCGGGUGAGACUACCCGCUGAACUUAAGCAUAUCAAUAAGCGGAGGAAAAGGAACUAACAAGGAUUCCCCCUAGUAACUGCGAGUGAAGCGGGAAAAGCUCAAAUUUAAAAUCUGGCAGUCCUUGGCUGCCCGAGUUGUAAUUUAGAGAAGCGUCUUCCGCGCCAGACCAUGCAAAAGUUUCCUGGAACGGAGUGUCAUAGAGGGUGAGAACCCCGUCUUUGGCAUGGAUUCUUGGUGCUUCUGUGAUGCGCUCUCGAAGAGUCGAGUUGUUUGGGAAUGCAGCUCAAAAUGGGUGGUGAACUCCAUCUAAAGCUAAAUAUUGGCGAGAGACCGAUAGCGAACAAGUACCGUGAGGGAAAGAUGAAAAGCACUUUGGAAAGAGAGUGAAACAGUACGUGAAAUUGUUGAAAGGGAAACGCUUGAAGUCAGUCGCGUUGACCAAGACUCAGCCUUGCCUCGGCUCGGUGUUCUUCUUGGCUUAACGGGCCAGCAUCAAUUUUGCCCCUCGGAUAAUGGCAAAGGAAAGGUAGCACCCUUGCGGGUGUGUUAUAGUCCUCUGUCGCAUACAAGGGGUGGGAUUGAGGAACUCAGCACGCGCCUCUUGGUGCCGGGGCUUCGGCCCACGUUACGUGCUUAGGAUGUUGGCGUAAUGGCU